rnacentral:rRNA from 1 species
UACGUAGGGUGCGAGCGUUUAAUCGGAAUUACUGGGCGUAAAGCGUGCGCAGGCGGUCUGUUAAGACCGAUGUGAAAUCCCCGGGCUUAACCUGGGAACUGCAUUGGUGACUGGCAGGCUUUGAGUGUGGCAGAGGGAGGUAGAAUUCCACGUGUAGCAGUGAAAUGCGUAGAGAUGUGGAGGAAUACCGAUGGCGAAGGCAGCCUCCUGGGCCAACACUGACGCUC